ensembl:lncRNA
AACGCCUCACUUACCGGAGUGGGGAUCCAGACGCGCCGCGGCGUGAACCCUAAGGAGCUGCCCGCACUGUGCCCAUUCCGUCUGCUUCUCCCAAUCGUCUCCUCCUUGCCCGCUUUCACUGCAUCCCUAGCGGGACUCCCUCGGCCCCAGAGAGGGGGUGCUGGGACGUGGGCACCCAGAGAGGCGAUGCCUGCGAGUGGAGCUGGGAGGCUGGUACCCGGAGCAGAUGCUGCCGGAGGAUGCGGGAGGAGGAAGAUGCUGGCAGCUGGUGGCGCGCGCAGACGGCUGCGAGCAGGAAGCGGGGCUGAGCAGAUGCCGCCUGGCUUGCUGGCCCUGUACCAGCUACUGCGUGAGCUGGGCUAGACUCCUCGCUGGGAGAUGAAGCGGGUUUUUAACCAUUCUGACGUUGGCUGGGACAUACCAAUAAAAUCCUUCCCCACGUCUCUGUCUCCCAGGCUCAGCUGCUCUCAUUAGUGACAACCUCAAGGACUGCAGCGCUGGGACCGCAUCCAUUCAGGAGAGAGAGGAGCAAGAGGAGUUACUCCAGCUCGACGCCGUCAGGAGUGUGUGUGGGGGGUUUGGCCCCCUGAGUUCCUUCACCAUUGCGUACCCACUGUCUGUGCAAACACAGCACCCGGGCACCUGCCCCUCCUCUGCCGGGGCUAGGUCCUGCUGCGCCUGAAAUCACGGGGAGACUCCCACUGGCUUCAAUGGGAGAAGGACGGAUCCGUGGGCCGUUAGCAGCAGCUCUAAGGGAGCCUGGAGAUCGCGGCUAACUGCUGGACUCCUUCAGCUGCGUCCUGAUGGGCGAUCCCUGGCUUUGGGCCCCCUGGACGCGGCACCCCACAUUUAAAGGGGUUCACACCACCUCCUCCUCGGCGGAGCUGCGGCUCAUUCAGCCCCUCGCACUGGCAAUGUGGCUGGGACACAGAUCCAGACCCAGCAUCUCGUGGGCUAAUGAGCAGCCAUUGGAUCCCGGCUCGCCGGGGCUUCCGGGAAAGCGCCGCAUUGAUUGUGCUCUCAGUGCACUGCAGGCCAGGCUGGAUGUGCAACGAUAUCACUCAACAGCAAUCAAAUCAUCCUCCUGGUUAAUAACGCUCCCGGCCUUUCCCUGCACUCCAGCCCCAGCCAGCGCCCGGCGGCUGCCCCCUCUGGGCUGCGGGCGUGGAAAGCAAUGGCCCGGAGGAGACAGCAGGAGCAGCGGAAGCAGCAGAGAUGGAGCGUGAAGGGGCCGGGGAGCCGCCCGGGGCAGGAGCUGCGGAGCAGAAGGUUCUGGCGCGCGUUGGCCCAGGGCUGUUGGGAUGGACGGAGACGGGGCCGUCACUAGGAGCGGGACCAGGGGGAGUCGCGCCGUUGUCUCCACUUUGGCUCAGGGCAUGGAUGAAGAGACAGACACAGAGUGAGAGGGGAAACUGAGGCACGGGGCAGGCCCAGGGUAACCCAACUCUCCUGAGUCCCAGUCUGGUGCCAUGUCCGUUUGAUGACAUUGCUUCUCCACAGUCUAUAGUGUCACCCACAGCCCAUCACCCCCAAAACUACACCUAGAGCGUUGCCCAGAGCAUCACCCACAGCCCGUCACUCCCCAAACUACACCCAUAGUGUCACCCACAGCCCAUCACCCCCAACCUACACCCCAUACCACCAUCCACAGUCCUCCACCCCCAAACAUACACCCCACAUCACCCCAAACCUAUACCCCCAACCUAUUCUCUCAGACACGUACACGACACAGAAACACCCCACAACAGGGGCCGAAUCCUGCCCUCAUUCAGGCUGCCGUGGGGCUGAGGGGCAGCGCUGCAGGCAGCAGGUGGGUCCCCUCUGCUCCCUGGACUCUACGUGUGUGAGCUGCUCCCACGGGGAGAGCAGUGAGGGGCCAGCGGGUGCCGCUCACUUCACUUGCCUUUUAGGGCCCCGGCUGCUGAAGCCCCUUGGCUGUGAGCAGAGGGGAGCAGGGUGUGUGUGUGUGUGGUGGGGGGGGGGGAUGGGCCCAGAUCACACCCUUCUCAGAGCUCGUCUGGCUGGUGCCGGGGGCUGGCGGGUCUCUUGGGCAGGUUCCAGACACUGGCAGGGGGAUACUCUGCCCCCGGGCAGGCUCCCCGUGCCCCCCGCACAGGCUGGGCCAGGGGCUGUUGGCGGGGGGAGCUGUGUGGAUACAGCCAGGCUGCCCCAGAGUGAGCCCACCAGGAUCCCCCUGAGGAUGCUCCUGAGCUGGGCUGGGCUGCU